CAGCCGCCGCGGUAAUACGAAGGGGGCUAGCGUUGCUCGGAAUGACUGGGCGUAAAGGGCACGUAGGCGGUUUGUACAGUUGGACGUGAAAUUCCUGGGCUUAACCUGGGGGCUGCAUUCAAUACGUGCAGGCUUGAGUGUGGAAGAGGGUUGUGGAAUUCCCAGUGUAGAGGUGAAAUUCGUAGAUAUUGGGAAGAACACCGGUGGCGAAGGCGGCAACCUGGUCCAUAACUGACGCUGAGGCGCGAAAGCGUGGGGAGCAAACAGGAUUAGAUACCCCAGUAGUCCCUGUCUCUUAUAC
rnacentral:rRNA from 1 species